rnacentral:snRNA from 1 species
GUGCUCAGUUCAGCAGCACAUACACUAAAACUGGAACCAUACAGAGAAGAUUAGCAUGGCACCUGUGCAAGGAUGACAUGCAAAUUUGUGAAGUGUUUCCUAUUUAG